GAUGAACGCUAGCGACAGGCCUAACACAUGCAAGUCGAGGGGUAACGAUUUAUUAGCUUGCUACUAAAGGCGACGACCGGCGCACGGGUGCGUAACGCGUAUGCAACCUACCCAUUACAAGAGGAUAGCCCAAGAAAUUUGGAUUAAUACUCUAUGGUACUCAACUAAAGCAUUUUAUUUGUUUUAAAGGAUUCAUCCGGUAAUGGAUGGGCAUGCGUAUGAUUAGUUAGUUGGUAGGGUAACGGCCUACCAAGACGAUGAUCAUUAGGGGUUCUGAGAGGAUAGUCCCCCACACUGGUACUGAGACACGGACCAGACUCCUACGGGAGGCAGCAGUGAGGAAUAUUGGUCAAUGGACGCAAGUCUGAACCAGCCAAGUCGCGUGCAUGAAGACUGCCCUAUGGGUUGUAAACUGCUUUUAUAUAGGAAUAAUGUUAGUUACGUGUAACUAUUUGAAUGUACUAUAUGAAUAAGCACCGGCUAACUCCGUGCCAGCAUCCGCGGUAAUACGGAGGGUGCAAGCGUUAUCCGGGAUUUAUUGGGUUUAAAGGGUGCGUAGGCGGGUUCAUAAGUCAGUGGUGAAAGUCUGUCGCUCAACGAUAGAAUUGCCAUUGAAACUGUGGAUCUUGAAUACAGUAGAGGUAGGCGGAAUAUAUUGUGUAGCGGUGAAAUGCAUAGAUACGAUAUAGAACACCAAUUGCGAAGGCAGCUUACUAUGCUGUUAUUGACGCUGAUGCACGAAAGCGUGGGUAGCGAACAGGAUUAGAUACCCUGGUAGUCCACGCCGUAAACGAUGAUCACUGGAUGUUGGCGAUACAUAGUCAGUGUCUGAGCGAAAGUAUUAAGUGAUCCACCUGGGGAGUACGUUGGCAACAAUGAAACUCAAAGGAAUUGACGGGGGCCCGCACAAGCGGAGGAACAUGUGGUUUAAUUCGAUGAUACGCGAGGAACCUUACCCGGGCUUAAAUGUAGAGUGCAUAGCUUAGAGAUAGGCUUUUCUACGGACUCUCUACAAGGUGCUGCAUGGUUGUCGUCAGCUCGUGCCGUGAGGUGUCGGGUUAAGUCCCAUAACGAGCGCAACCCCUAUCGUUAGUUACCAUCAGGUCAAGCUGGGGACUCUAACGAGACUGCCACCGUAAGGUGCGAGGAAGGUGGGGAUGACGUCAAAUCAGCACGGCCCUUACGUCCGGGGCUACACACGUGUUACAAUGGUAAGGACAAAGGGUAGCUACACAGCGAUCUGAUGCGAAGCUCGAAACCUUAUCUCAGUUCGGAUCGGAGUCUGCAACUCGACUCCGUGAAGUUGGAUUCGCUAGUAAUCGGAUAUCAGCAACGAUCCGGGAAUACGUUCCCGGGCCU
rnacentral:rRNA from 1 species